ensembl:miRNA
UCUAGAGGCUGUAGAGGGCAUCUGCUGCUUCCUGGCACUCGGAUGCCCUCUGCUGCUUAGAGA